rnacentral:pre_miRNA from 1 species
UUAAAUCAAAUUUGUAUGGAUUUUGAACGUUUGCCUACGUUUGCCGCUAGGGGCGCUGUUCCGUCUACAUACAAAUUUGAGUUA